rnacentral:rRNA from 1 species
CCUACAGGUGGCUGCAGUGGGGAAUAUUGGACAAUGGGGGGAACCCUGAUCCAGCCAUGCCGCGUGUGUGAAGAAGGCCCUCGGGUUGUAAAGCACUUUCAGUGAGGAAGAACGCCUGGUGGUUAAUACCCAUCAGGAAAGACAUCACUCACAGAAGAAGCACCGGCUAACUCCGUGCCAGCAGCCGCGGUAAUACGGAGGGUGCGAGCGUUAAUCGGAAUUACUGGGCGUAAAGCGCGCGUAGGUGGCUUGAUAAGCCGGUUGUGAAAGCCCCGGGCUCAACCUGGGAACGGCAUCCGGAACUGUCAAGCUAGAGUGCAGGAGAGGAAGGUAGAAUUCCCGGUGUAGCGGUGAAAUGCGUAGAGAUCGGGAGGAAUACCAGUGGCGAAGGCGGCCUUCUGGACUGACACUGACACUGAGGUGCGAAAGCGUGGGUAGCAAACAGGAUUAGAUACCCUAGUAGUC